AGUGAACGCUGGCGGUAGGCCUAACACAUGCAAGUCGAACGGCAGCACAGUAAGAGCUUGCUCUUACGGGUGGCGAGUGGCGGACGGGUGAGGAAUACAUCGGAAUCUACUUUUUCGUGGGGAAUAACGUAGGGAAACUUACGCUAAUACCGCAUACGACCUACGGGUGAAAGCAGGGGAUCUUCGGACCUUGCGCGAUUGAAUGAGCCGAUGUCGGAUUAGCUAGUUGGCGGGGUAAAGGCCCACCAAGGCGACGAUCCGCAGCUGGUCUGAGAGGAUGAUCAGCCACACUGGAACUGAGACACGGUCCAGACUCCUACGGGAGGCAGCAGUGGGGAAUAUUGGACAAUGGGCGCAAGCCUGAUCCAGCCAUACCGCGUGGGUGAAGAAGGCCUUCGGGUUGUAAAGCCCUUUUGUUGGGAAAGAAAAGCAGCAGGUUAAUACCCCGCUGUUCUGACGGUACCCAAAGAAUAAGCACCGGCUAACUUCGUG
rnacentral:rRNA from 1 species